AAUUAAACACGUUUUUCCUUCCCACAAUUCUCCACGAGAUCUGUGCGAAGUGUUGUUCUUUUGGACUCUGCGAAUUUCCAGUUUCUACAACGAAAUAGCUCGACUAAUCAUCUGUUUAUAGAAUUGAUGUUCGAAAUCGUGAUUUCUGAGUGUACUUCAUUGCAGCAGAAAAUCUUGGAGGGAACAUCAAUAUUAAACUAAUGACAUUCCAUAAGAAUAAAAAUCCAAUAGGACCAAGAUCUUAGCAGUUCACACCAAGUCAUAGGGACAAAAUUGAGAACCAUGCAGAUCAGCAAGUGUAAGUUACACUCUAAUGACCAACAGGAUAUCUGAAUUGGAAAAUUGCAAGAUUUCCCACUGCCCAAGCUGUUUGAGUACCGGUAUCACAACUAGUACCAAGACGGAAGAAAUAUGAAGGCCGAGUUAAUUAACAGUUACUUCAAAUUAAUUUGAAUAGAUAUAUCAACAAAGCAUUGAAUUUUCUUUAAACUGCACAUCUCUAGGAAAAGUGCAGUACAAGUUCAGGUUCAUCAGCGGGCAAUGACAUUAAAGUAUACAAAAUUUUACACAAAAUACAAUUAAGAAAUAUUAUUUUCCAAUGGGCAAAAGUAUCACCUUUUAUUGAUAUUUAAUACUUUUACUAGUUCUUAGAAGUUUUCAUGAAAUUAAAUAUAUUUUCCAGUUUAAAGGCCUAUUGUAUACAAGACAAAAAUUUAAAUUUUGAAAUAAAAAUAAUGUGUAGAUAAAUGUUAAGAAAGGUGAUCAGAGGAAUAAGAAAUGAUGUUAAUAUCACUCCUGGACCUCAUUUCAUGAACAAGUUAUUACUAUUGUAAUCUUGUCACUAUGACAAUUACCAUAGUAACAGGGCUGAGCAAGAAAUCAAGGUCUUUAUGAUAGCUGCAAUGGGCUUGGACAAAGUUACCAUAAUUGCAAGUCUUAAUAUAAUGGCUAAAUAAUUAUGUAGGGAUAUUAAAUUGUAUUGUUAUCCUUUUAAAAAGUUUUGAAAUGGGUUACCUCUA
rnacentral:lncRNA from 1 species